CGUGCGAAGGUAGCGUAAUCACUUGUCCUUUAAAUAAGGACUAGUAUGAACGCUUCACGAAGGCUAUACUGUCUCCUUAAUCUAAUCAAUUAAACUAAUCUCCCCGUGAAGAAGCGGGGAUCCACUUAUAAGACGAGAAGACCCUAUGGAGCUUUAAACAUCUAAGACACUUGAUUACACCUACUAAACUUCAUGCAACCUAUCAUUUUGUCUUAAGUUUUAGGUUGGGGUGACCACGGAGAAAAAUUGAACCUCCACGUAGAAAGAAGAUUCUUUUCUAAGCAAAAAGCCACAUCUUAACGCAUCAAUAUAUUGACUUAAAUUGACCCAAUUUCUUGCUCAACGAACCAAGUUACCCUAGGGAUAACAGCGCAAUCCGCUUUAAGAGCUCCUAUCGACAAGCGGGCUUACGACCUCGAUGUUGGAUCAGGCUCAUCUGAUAAG
rnacentral:rRNA from 1 species